rnacentral:rRNA from 1 species
GACGAACGCUGGCGGCGUGCUUAACACAUGCAAGUCGAACGGAAAGGCCCUGCUUUUGUGGGGUGCUCGAGUGGCGAACGGGUGAGUAACACGUGAGUAACCUGCCCUUGACUUUGGGAUAACUUCAGGAAACUGGGGCUAAUACCGGAUAGGAGCUCCUGCUGCAUGGUGGGGGUUGGAAAGUUUCGGCGGUUGGGGAUGGACUCGCGGCUUAUCAGCUUGUUGGUGGGGUAGUGGCUUACCAAGGCUUUGACGGGUAGCCGGCCUGAGAGGGUGACCGGCCACAUUGGGACUGAGGUACGGCCCAGAGUGCUACGGGAGGCAGCAGUGGGAAAUAUUGCACAAUGGGCGGAAGCCUGAUGCAGCAACGCCGCGUGCGGAAUGACGGCCUUCGGGUUAUAAACCGCUUUCGCCUGUGACGAAGCGUGAGUGACGGUAAUGGGUAAAGAAGCACCGGCUAACUACGUG